UCCAUAUUUCUAGAUAAAAUCGUGAACACAAUCACUACUAGAAACCUGACCUACAGCGACGGAAUUUGCGAUGGAUUCUAUCUGUAGCUAAUCAGUGACAGUUUAUUGGAUCAGCGACGGAACCCACAAAUAUUUUGAUCAAAAUAAUUAUAGUAUUUUAGGAAGGUAUUAAUGAGGGAUUAACGAUGGAUUAUCAGGAUUUUAUCGACAAAAAACCAUCCCUCGCUAAACCGUCAGUAAGUAAAACCUCCUAACGAGGGAACAACAACAGAUUGCAAAAAUUACAGGCCUUUUUUUCUUGACCCUCGCCAAGCCCUCGCAGAAAUCUACGCCUCCUUUUUUCAUUCCCCAUUUUUCUUUCUUUUCUUGUUCCCUCGUUUUAUUCUCAUUCCCUCUAAAUUCUUCACAAAGGAACAAUUUCCUCCAAAAGCCCUAAAUGAUCGUCAAGUCUCUCCUCCGCCCAAGAAAUCGCCUCCACCAUAGUCAACCUGCAUCGCUCGUCUUUGAAGCCUCUGAAAGGAAAACCUAAUCAUAAAGCACAUGCUCAUUGGCUUUCCUUUCGGUCCGUCUCCCUUCCUUGUUGACUCACCACUUAAUUCCCAGAUAACGCUUUUCGAUCUAUUGGUUCAUCAUAUAUUGUUGAUUUAGAUUGUACAACCGCUCAGCAGCAACAGCGGCGUCGAUCACCAGCGGUGUCGAUCACCUAAUAGCGUAGCGGCGGCGGUUCUGUUGGUGAUCUAGAACACUUUGAAAACUUGUAGUAAUUACAAAAAUUACUAACGAAAACGCACAACGAAAGCAAGAAAUCGAAAACGCACAACGAAAGCAAGAACGGUGCGUAGCAGCAAACAACUGAAAUCGACAGGUCCAAAAUGUUUGAAGGUUCCAAAAACGAUACAAGCAUCAAUCCCCGAUGUUGGGUUGCUAUGAAUUUCAAACAAUCAAUUCCAUAUGCACUUCUCCAGGCUUUUGUUUUCUCUAUUACUAAUCCUAAAUCAAACCUUGAUCCUAAUCCUAGCCAAUUUCCCAAAUCACCCAUAAAUUUUAGAAAAACUCAAGUUUUGAAUUAAGUUUGGUCAUUGUGUUGAGUUUAAUUUUAGAUUUAUGGAUUGUUGAAUCCGACAUGGACUUCUGCAAAUUUCCGUUGAUUUACUCUGGUUCUUUGCAUUAGAUUGCAGAGUAGGGUAAGACCAAUGUAUGUUGGUGGUUCUAAUGAUGGCUAUCUUAUGAAGGAGCAAGAAAUCCAAAAGAUGCUACAUGAUGGAUCAAUUCUUUUUUAGGAUUAUCUCAUAAAAAGGUGAACCAGAAUCCAGGAAACUUUUUGGUUGUCAUAGGACGCUUAUCGGGAUAUGGCAUCUGCACUUUCCAAGGCUGAUGGAAUUGACUAUACUGACCUUGAAAAGCUGGAGUUACUGGUUGCAACAAUAAUGGAUCUUGAUGCAAUAGAUGGUAAAGGGAGUGUGUCGUUAUUGGCAGAGUGUUCAACUUCUCCUGAUGUCAAUACAAGUUUGACAUCAGGUUAAUGGCAUGGCAUUGGUACUUCCAUUUUUUCAUUCUAUGGUCUGGGUUUAGGCUUUUGUAGAACACAAUCAAAUUCUUCUUUAAUCCAAAGACUACUGCUAAGGUUUAUGUUUUGGGCAGCACAUACCAAAACCAACUCCUCAAAAUGAUUGAUGUUGGGGGCUCUUCGGCUGCUCAGGAGAUUUUCCUCCUGAUGCCAUUCUCCGUCACCAAGAGUGCAACAAGGCUAACAAAAUUGCAUAUUAUUCUGAAUUGCAUAAAGUUCUUGGGUGGUACCUACAACUGUAUUAUUGAUAAGGUUGGUUGCAUGCGAUCAAAAAAGGGCUAAUGGCACUAGAGACCAUGAAGGUUAAUUUUGUGAUUUUAUUCCUAAUUAAAAAAAUUAGUUUUGGUGUGGUAGAUGGCCCAUUAUGGUCAAUACAAAUGUUCAAAGAUCAAACCCCAAAAGAGAAAUUUCUGAAGACCAAUAUGCAAACACGGUAUUUUUUUUUCAUCAUGUUUUUUCAUAUAUUUUUUGGUCGGAAUCGGAAUUCAAUUCCAUUCUAGUCCUGCAUUUAGUUUAGUUUCAAAUGAGUUAUGAGUAGACACUAAUGUCCUUUAUCAACGGAAAAGCAUGCUUCCAACAAACACCAUGUGUCCUUCCAUUGCAGGAAAAAGUAAGUAGAACUCCCUGUAAGUUAAGUUUUGUUUCUUCUUUUUGUUUUGUUGAUUAAAUUUCUAGUUUAGUUGUUUGUUGCAAUCCAUUCAUUUUUGACAUAUUGAUGAAGAAAUUUCUUUCUUGCAAGAAAUACCACAACUCCCUGAUCUCAAUCUUAAACAAAAAGUAGAAGAAUUCAGGAGUUUAGUAUCAUCAGCUGAUAAUUUUAAAAGGUGUUGGAAUUCAUCUCCUUAUCAUUUGGAGGAUCCGAGUGAAGGUGGUAAAAAGAAUGGAAGUAUUAUUAGAAGGCCUCCACAUGAUGUUGACUAUUGACUAUGUUCCUGUAGAACUAGGUA